UCCACACGAUGAUGUGCCGACGAUUUGUGGUUCCUUUAGAAACAUAUUCACGUAAAAUUCCCGAUAAUUACAUCGAAAGGCGUGGUAACUUAAAAUUAUGACUAGAAUCUGGAUUGUACCGAAGCUUCAACAACUUUGAAGUGAUUUCCUCAUCUGGGUUUGAUUGAAAGGUUGGUAGGAACUCAGUCACCUAAAAUAUUAACCUUAGGGUCAUAGAGUGUUGCAUGCGUUGUAGAAGAUGCAAUCCACACAACUUUAGCUCGUGGAAUAUAACAUAAGCUGGAUAUUGUGUUCAAGAACACAGUUUCAAGUCGAUGUCGUAAUUGACCGUCUUGUGACCAAACCUUAACGCUACGAUCAAAUGAACCAGUGAUCAACCUGUGUAAACAAUGUGUUAUGUUUUAUAAAGUAGUUUCAAUACAAACAUUCCAUUACAGUCUAAAUAUAUGCAUGAUACAAUAAAUUGUCUUCAUCGCAUAUAUAUUAUGAUAAAAUCGACUUAAAUUUCGGUUUUAAAGCUAAAAUCUUAUAUAUGGUUUGUAAUGUUUGUAUCUAAACUGAUAAGAAACCUGUAUAUUAUAUGUCUUGAAACUUAUUUGGAGGGGGCCUGCUUGGAGUAGAAAUACAAGUAAUAUAGUUUUAAUUUUGACAUCCGAAAAUUAACUAUUAAAAAAAAAUGUUAAUAAACUGCAUAACGUAAAA